rnacentral:rRNA from 1 species
UACGGAGGGGGCUAGCGUUGUUCGGAAUUACUGGGCGUAAAGAGCGCGCAGGCGGUCGUUCAAGUCGCGUGUGAAAGCCCCCGGCUCAACUGGGGAGGGUCACGCGAUACUGAUCGACUCGAAGGCAGGAGAGGGAAGUGGAAUUCCCGGUGUAGUGGUGAAAUGCGUAGAGAUCGGGAGGAACACCGGUGGCGAAGGCGGGUCUCUGGGCAAUUCCUGACGCUGGGGCGCGAAAGCGUGGGGAGCAAACGGG